AACGAACGCUGGCGGCAGGCUUAACACAUGCAAGUCGAGCGCCCCGCAAGGGGAGCGGCAGACGGGUGAGUAACGCGUGGGAAUCUACCCAUCUCUACGGAAUAACGCAUGGAAAAGUGUGCUAAUCCCGUAUAAGUCCUUCGGGAGAAAGAUUUAUCGGAGUUGGAUGAGCCCGCGUUGGAUUAGCUAGUUGGUGGGGUAAAGGCCUACCAAGGCGACGAUCCAUAGCUGGUCUGAGAGGAUGAUCAGCCACACUGGGACGGAGACACGGCCCAGACUCCUACGGGAGGCAGCAGUGGGGAAUAUUGGACAAUGGGCGCAAGCCUGAUCCAGCCAUGCCGCGUGAGUGAUGAAGGCCCUAGGGUUGUAAAGCUCUUUCACCGGUGAAGAUAAUGACGGUAACCGGAGAAGAAGCCCCGGCUAACUUCGUGCCAGCCGCCGCCGUAAAAC
rnacentral:rRNA from 1 species